rnacentral:rRNA from 1 species
CAGUCGCCGCGGGAAUACAGAGGGUACAAGCGUUAAUCGGAAUUACUGGGCGUAAAACGCGCGCAGGCGGUUAUAUAAGACAGAUGUGAAAUCCCCGGGCUCAACCUGGGAACUGCAUUUGUGACUGUAUAGCUAGAGUACGGCAGAGGGGGAUGGAAUUCCGCGUGUAGCAGUGAAAUGCGUAGAUAUGCGGAGGAACACCGAUGGCGAAGGCAAUCCCCUGGGCCUGUACUGACGCUCAUGCACGAAAGCGUGGGGAGCAAACAGGAUUAGAUACCCGUGUAGUCCCUGUCUCUUAUAA